AAUCCUCCAUGUCCAGAGCCAGUCGGAGCUUUCCAUUCUUCAGCUUUGACUUAGCUCCGAGGCUCGGGACGAUUUUCACUCUUUACACUUUCAAUUCUGCAAGGAGAACAAACAGAUAACAACCCAUAAAUCAAUACAAAAACAGGGAAGCCAUUACACACAACUCCAUGUAACCGGUGGCAAAUAACUACGAAAUCCCGGUAAAUUGGUAAACUAUUCCACUUUUCCAGUUGUGGAAAGCAAAACUUCAGCCAGAAUUGGCGUUUUUAUAUGGGUCACUGAGAUAGAAA